UACGUAGGGGGCAAGCGUUGUCCGGAAUCAUUGGGCGUAAAGCGCGCGUAGGCGGCCCGGUAAGUCCGUUGUGAAAGUCAAAGGCUCAACCUUUGAACGCCGAUGGAUACUGCCGGGCUAGAGUCCGGAAGAGGCGAGUGGAAUUCCGGGUGUAGUGGUGGAAUGCGUAGAGAUCCGGAGGAACACCAGCGGCGAAGGCGGCGUCCUGGACUGGUACUGACGCUCAGGAGCGAAAGCGUGGGGAGCGAUCCGG
rnacentral:rRNA from 1 species